CUGUGCCUAGGGGGGCAGCAGUGGGGAAUAUUGCACAAUGGGGGAAACCCUGAUGCAGCAACGCCGCGUGAAGGAAGACGGUUUUCGGAUUGUAAACUUCUGUUCUUAGUGAAGAAUAAUGACGGUAGCUAAGGAGCAAGCCACGGCUAACUACGUGCCAGCAGCCGCGGUAAUACGUAGGUGGCAAGCGUUGUCCGGAAUUACUGGGUGUAAAGGGAGCGCAGGCGGGAAGCCAAGUCAGCUGUGAAAACUACGGGCUUAACUU
rnacentral:rRNA from 1 species